CCUACGGGAGGCAGCAGUGGGGAAUAUUGCACAAUGGGCGCAAGCCUGAUGCAGCCAUGCCGCGUGUAUGAAGAAGGCCUUAGGGUUGUAAAGUACUUUCAGUCGGGAGGAAGGCGUUGAUACUAAUACUAUCAGCGAUUGACGUUACCGACAGAAGAAGCACCGGCUAACUCCGUGCCAGCAGCCGCGGUAAU
rnacentral:rRNA from 1 species